CUGGUUAUGUGGCGUAACUGACGGCGCUCGGUCAGAAAGGUGUGUGCUCCGGUUAGUCGGCAGAACAACCACGUGACCUCAUUGCCUGCAGAAGAGAGUAAUAAAACACCUGAACUAUCCAUCACCUGCCUCUUCAUUUGGACGUUCCUCCAAUUGUUCUGGCUGGCACCCCGCUGUGAUACAGUACAUCACCUGCAGUGUCUUCACUACACUUAUUUGACUCAUGUUGAAGCUUCUCCUCUCCCGUGGAGAGUGUGGAAGCUGACAGCAUUAGUAAACAGCACUGGAAGAAUGUCAAAGCUGUUACUGUUAUUGUUCAAAACUCUGUCAAGAGGAUGAGGGGGAACUGUCCGUCUGGUCACGAAAAGAAACAGAACACCUUGAGCGCAAGGACGCUGGAAGUGGGCUUGUUACCGGCCAGCCCUGUCCUUUUAAGACGGUGGCCCGGCACGUGUGUGUGACGUACAGGUGCAAACAGGUAAACCCAGGAGCAGGUACACAUCCAGUGUGUUAGAUGUACACAGCAGAGUUAGCUCAUGUGAACGCCCGAGUGUUUUAGCCCGCAGCAGUGUCCAGUCAGGUUUUGAAUCGGCCCGGUGUGUGUUCUGCUUUUUGAUAAAAAGAGGAAUUAAAUGUGCCACUACUUCGUCCUCCUUUCUUCCCACACUUUUACCCGGACUCUCCGACGCCAGUUACCAGCAACGAGCCAAAACAUCAAACCAGUUCCCAACUACGGUUCGGAGCGAGAGAAGGUUUAAAAAGGUAACACUAUGUUACUUGUUUAUAACGCUGUCUAGUGCCUAAUCUCAGUACCUUGUGCGUGAAAUUAAAUAUAUGAGGUCUUAAUUAAAGACAUAUUCUGAGAAAUACUUGCAUUUCAUGUGUGAUUCAAUGAAGCACAUUCACAUUCCUGAGUUGAGCAUUACGUUGCCAUCAAGUUGGCCUUAUGAUGUAUUUCUAAAACCUCUGUAGGUCUAAUACAGGUUGGUUGUGAUGACAUCUCAUUGUAAAUUAUAGCCUGUAUCACAUGAUUACUAAGCAUAUAAAUAACCAAGUGUAACACCCUAUCGAGAACAUUAUUUAUUUAUGUAUGUUGCCCUUUCGCAUUAUGACGUCAUCGGAACGUUUCUCAGCCCCCCCCCAACUGUGAAUUACUUCCAGCGUCCCUGCUUGAGCGGGAACUGUGGAAACAGCAGACAGGGAAACUUCAGUCUGAUGUCGGCAAAAAACAUUCAAGUUAAGUUGUAGUGUUCAAUUCAUCUCUUGGUCUGUGACUAACGUCAGAUGAACUAUAA